UACAGAGGGUGCAAGCGUUAAUCGGAAUUACUGGGCGUAAAGCGCGCGUAGGCGGCUUGACAAGUCGAGUGUGAAAUCCCCGGGCUUAACCUGGGAGCUGCAUUCGAAACUGUCUUGCUAGAGUAUGGGAGAGGGAGGUGGAAUUUCAGGUGUAGCGGUGAAAUGCGUAGAUAUCAGGAGGAACACCGGUGGUGUAGACGGCUUACUGGACCAUAACUGACGCUGAGACACGAAAGCGUGGGUAGCAAACAGG
rnacentral:rRNA from 1 species